rnacentral:rRNA from 1 species
AUACGGGGGGUGCAAGCGUUAAUCGGAAUUACUGGGCGUAAAGCGCGCGUAGGCGGUUAGAUAAGUCGGAUGUGAAAUCCCUGGGCUCAACCUGGGAACUGCAUUCGAUACUGUCUAACUAGAGUAUGGUAGAGGGAAGUGGAAUUCCGGGUGUAGCGGUGAAAUGCGUAGAUAUCCGGAGGAACAUCAGUGGCGAAGGCGACUUCCUGGACCAAUACUGACGCUGAGGUGCGAAAGCGUGGGGAGCAAACAGGAUUAGAUACCCUAGUAGUCC